UACGGAGGAUGCGAGCGUUAUCCGGAUUUAUUGGGUUUAAAGGGUGCGUAGGCGGACGCUUAAGUCAGCGGUAAAAUUGCGGGGCUCAACCUCGUCGAGCCGUUGAAACUGGGUGCCUUGAGUGGGCGAGAAGUACGCGGAAUGCGUGGUGUAGCGGUGAAGUGCAUAGAUAUCACGCAGAACUCCGAUUGCGAAGGCAGCGUACCGGCGCCCAACUGACGCUGAAGCACGAAGGCGUGGGCAUCGAACAGG
rnacentral:rRNA from 1 species